rnacentral:lncRNA from 1 species
AUGACAGGUAACGUACAGGUCGGCGUCAUCAUGUUACCUGUAUAUUGUACUGACGUGUUAAAUCCAACAUGCUCGUCCAGCAGUGAGCAGAACCAGACUUGACCUUGAACUGUUAUUACAGACAUCAGAGAAAGCGACAUCAUUGAAUUCCAAAGGGUCUCCCGAUACAUUGUGUAAAGAAUGGAUAACCGUUGCCAGGACAACGAGGAACCCCACUAUUCCACUAUACAGUCAGUUUACUCGGAAAACCGAACCGGAAGUGAUGAGGAAUUAACAGGAACACGUGUCCGAGGCCAAUUUAUGCGCAUGACUACUACCUCUUUAGAAGACACAUAUUCACACCAAAGUUCAACAACUACAUCCUCUGAUUCAAAAGAUUUAAGUUAUGACGAUGUUGACAUUCAUGUCCUGAGCAGAAGUAUCCGCGCACUGACCGUUUUACAUCGUAGGCAUAAUUUGUCGCCACCAUUUAACAUGGAUACGUCAUUUCCGGAUCCUAUUGUUUCUGGACAUGAUGAGUGUUUAUGUUGUAAUCGUGACCGGAAGUGGGUGUGUUGGAGGAUGGAAAUGAACAAACAGUUGGUCGACUCUGCUCUGAAAAGUAAUCAAUGCAACGGAGGGAUGAGAAGGUGGGAAGUGGCUGAUCGCCCUCGAGGGUGCCAAACGACCAAGUGCACAAAUGACUUUGAAACUAAGGCUGGUGGCGAAAGCAGUCUCUGUUCUCAUCAGUACUUCAUGUACGGAAUUCCUAGGGCACGACUUUACAACCGCUUACGUCGAUAACAAUAAGACUUCUGGAUGAUGGUCAACGCACGAGUUGAACAUUUACGUGAUUGUGCAAUACGGUUUCAUGUUUUUAUUUGGAGGAAAUAAAUAAUAAUAUUCAACAAAUAAAAUGGAUUGGACAUUUAAACAUUCGGCUUAACCCGCAUGCUUUGCUGAGGUACGUAAUGGAGACAUGUUUCCGUUCCUUCACGGACCUGUGGACUGCUGUAGGUGCUACAUUCAUGUACAUGCAUGGAACGGAAGACAUAUUUGUUUGUCUUGCAAUCAUGUUUUUUUUAAGUAUAUUUAUAACGUGUCAGGUCUCGAUGAUUAGCUGGAUAGGAUAAAAUUGUUUGACAAAGAAAUAUGUAUGCAUGUACAAUAGCGUCGUGUAAGACCAAACAUCUAAAAUUAAGCAGAAGUCAGACUCACUGGUAAACUGACGCACAAGUAACAAAAUAACGAAAGCUUGGAAAAAGCAACUGUAAUGCCGUCCAGACAGAACUUGAGAAAGAUUGAAGGCUUGUUAGAAAUGAACCGUUAAGAAGACAAACGAUGGAGGCUUGGUAGGAGAGUUCUCUACUGUCUUGUUUUGGAACCAUAGAGGACUAGGUACAUUGUAUAGCAUAUUUUUUUUAAUGAUAUUUAAAUGUUCUUACAGUUACGCCACCAAUCUUUUUUUAUAUAUUGUCUUUUCGAGUAAGAGUGAAAAAGGCAAAAAUUAAAUCGAUUGUGUGAGUUAUAUUAUCAAAGUUAUACAUGUAAUUUGUUUAUUAUUUCUCAUGUCAUCUAAGCAUCUUUAACCCAAAGUUGUGAAACACGCAAAAGUUGCGGAACAAAACUUGGUGACGUCACUGCCAGGUCAAUUCUGCCAUUGGCUUGAAGUUUAAAACUUAUCAUUUUAAUCAGAUUGACGCAUGACAAUAAAUCGAUAAAAAAAACCUAUUACAGUGUGUUAAUGGAGUCGAUGCAUGGUUUUGUCGACCCCUGAUUAACGGUAUCAACCGAGACCGCAAGGUUAAUCUCUGUUGAAGGGUUGAUAAAAUAGAAACAUUUAUAUCACAAAAAUUAUAGGUCUCUCAUAAAACCUUACGUCGACAUGUUGUUAUUGUAUAUAUGUUACAUUCAAAUAUUAAUAUAAGUCCAAAGCCGAUGCAAAAGUUCGGGAAUAUUUUUUGACGAUAAUAUUGACUAUUUAUAAGAUAUCGGAGUACUAGCUGUUUCCUUGUGUUAUCUGUUGAAUACCAGUUGUUUUAUAUUAAAAUAUUUUAAUGCCA